AUACGUAGGUGGCGAGCGUUGUCCGGAAUUACUGGGCGUAAAGGGCGCGCAGGCGGGUUUUUAAGUCAGAUGUGUAAUCUACAGGCUCAACUUGUAGUUUGCAUCUGAUACUGGGAAUCUUGAGGGCAGGAGAGGACAGUGGAAUUCCUAGUGUAGCGGUGAAAUGCGUAGAUAUUAGGAGGAACACCAGUGGCGAAGGCGGCUGUCUGGCCUGCAACUGACGCUGAGGCGCGAAAGCGUGGGGAGCGAACAGGAUUAGAUACCCUGGUAGUCCACGCCGUAAACGAUGGGUACUGGGUGUAGGAGGUAUCGACCCCUUCUGUGCCGGAGUUAACACAAUAAGUACCCCGCCUGGGGACUACGGCCGCAAGGUUAAA
rnacentral:rRNA from 1 species